rnacentral:rRNA from 1 species
UAGGGAAUUUUCGUCAAUGGGCGCAAGCCUGAACGAGCGAUGCCGCGUGAGUGAAGAAGGCCUUCGGUCGCAAAGCUCUGUUGCGGGGGAAAAAAGGCAGCAUCAGGAAAUGGGUGCUGACUGAUGGUGCCCCGCCAGAAAGUCACGGCUAACUACGUGCC